UCUCACUACAUUCAAAACCAUCAUUAAAAUCUCAUGUUAUUUUUUGUUCAGCCACCAUUUUCUGGCCAAUGAUUUACAAAAAAGAGCAUAGGAAGAAGCAGGAGGGAAGUUGUCAGAUGGAACUGAAAUAAUUAACUUGAAGGUAGAAAAGAGAUAAGAUGAGCAUGUUCUGGUGGGUGAGAUAGAAGUGAUGUGUGUAAUGAAUCAGAGCUGGAAGCACAAACAUCAUGUAUGUUUCAUAAAGUUAUUCAUGAAUGCUGAUGG
rnacentral:lncRNA from 1 species